CUUAAUGAGAGUUUGAUCCUGGCUCAGGACGAACGCUGGCGGCGUGCCUAACACAUGCAAGUCGAGCGAAGUAUUUAAAGAAGAUUUCUUCGGAAUGAAACUUUAAAUAUCUUAGCGGCGGACGGGUGAGUAACGCGUGAGAAACCUGCCUUUCACAACGGGAUAGCCUCGGGAAACUGGGAUUAAUACCGUAUAAUGUUUCUUUUUAGCAUUAAGAAGAAACCAAAGCGCAAAGCGGUGAAAGAUGGUCUCGCGUCCCAUUAGCUAGUUGGUGAGAUAAAAGCUCACCAAGGCGACGAUGGGUAGCCGGCCUGAGAGGGUGAACGGCCACACUGGAACUGAGACACGGUCCAGACUCCUACGGGAGGCAGCAGUGGGGAAUAUUGCACAAUGGAGGAAACUCUGAUGCAGCGACGCCG
rnacentral:rRNA from 1 species